GUUUGAAUGAUGACUCUUCAAAAUGUCGGAUACCCCUUCACCCGUUAUGAGUGAGAGCAAUAGUCUGACAAAC
rfam:Alligator mississippiensis ScZkoYb_55, whole genome shotgun sequence.